GACGAACGCUGGCGGCGUGCCUAAUACAUGCAAGUUGAGCGCUGAAGGUUGGUACUUGUACCAACUGGAUGAGCAGCGAACGGGUGAGUAACGCGUGGGGAAUCUGCCUUUGAGCGGGGGCAACAUUUGGAAACGAAUUCUAAUACCGCAUUAAAACUUUAAACCACAGUUUUAAGGUUUAAAAAUGCCAUUGCAUCACCCAAAGAUGGUCCCGCGUUGUAUUAGCUAGUUGGUGAGGUAAAGGCUCACCAAGGCGAUGAUACAUAGCCGACCGGAGAGGGUGAUCGGCCACAUUGGGACUGAGACACGGCCCAAACUCCUACGGGAGGCAGCAGUAGGGAAUCUUCGGCAAUGGACGAAAGUCUGACCGAGCAACGCCGCGUGAGUGAAGAAGGUUUUCGGAUCGUAAAACUCUGUUGGUAGAGAAGAACGUUGGUGAGAGUGGAAAGCUCAUCAAGUGACGGUAACUACCCAGAAAGGGACGGCUAACUACGUG
rnacentral:rRNA from 1 species